CGGGGGGUGCAAGCGUUGUUCGGAUUUAUUGGGCGUAAAGCGCGUGUAGGCGGUUUGUUAAGUCUGUUGUGAAAGCCCUGGGCUCAACCCGGGAAGUGCACUGGAUACUGGCAAACUUGAAUACGGGAGAGGAGAGUGGAAUUCCUGGUGUAGGAGUGAAAUCCGUAGAUAUCAGGAGGAACACCGGUGGCGAAGGCGGCUCUCUGGACCGAUAUUGACGCUGAGACGCGAAAGCGUGGGUAGCAAACAGGAUUAGAUACCCUGGUAGUCCACGCCGUAAACGAUGAGUACUAGGUGUUGCGGGUAUUGACCCCUGCAGUGCCGCAGCUAACGCAUUAAGUACUCCGCCUGGGAAGUACGGUCGCAAGACUA
rnacentral:rRNA from 1 species